GCAGGUCGAACGAAGCCUUCGGGCUUAGUGGCGCACGGGUGCGUAACGCGUGGGAACCUACCAUCAGGUUCGGAAUAACAGUUAGAAAUGACUGCUAAUACCGGAUAAUGUCUUCGGACCAAAGAUUUAUCGCCUUUUGAUGGGCCCGCGUUAGAUUAGCUAGUUGGUGAGGUAAGAGCUCACCAAGGCGACGAUGAGUAGCUGGUCUGAGAGGAUGACC
rnacentral:rRNA from 1 species